CAAUAGCGUAUAUUUAAGUUGCUGCAGUUAAAAAGCUCGUAGUUGGAUUUCGGGUGGGAAUGGCCGGUCCGCCGUUUCGGUGUGCACUUGCUACGCCCACCUUGCUGCCGGGGACGUGCUCUUGAGUUCACGCUCGGGACACGGAGUCGGCGAGGUUACUUUGAGUAAAUUAGAGUGUUCAAAGCAGGCCUACGCUCUGAAUACAUUAGCAUGGAAUAACACGAUAGGACUCUGGCCUAGCUUGUUGGUCUGUAGGACCGGAGUAAUGAUUAAGAGGGACAGUCGGGGGCAUUCGUAUUUCAUUGUCAGAGGUGAAAUUCUUGGAUUUAUGAAAGACGAACUACUGCGAAAGCAUUUGCCAAGGAUGUUUUCAUUAA
rnacentral:rRNA from 1 species